CCCAGUCUGAGAUCUCUGCCCAAGUCACUGGUGCCCCACAGGGGCUCUUAGGCUGGUCCUGUUGUCUGGCCCGCCCCACCCUUCUAGCUGGGUCCCUGGCCCCGCGUGAUUUCUGGUCCCACCCCCUGAUUCCUGGCCCCAGGCAACCCUCUGAGCUUGCCCUUUGGCUUCAGAUAAACAGUGCAGGAUCUUUAGCCCAGUCCUAAGUCCAGACCCCAACUUUCCAGCCGAUCUUAGCUCCUGGCCCUGAUCCCUGGAUUCAGGCCCUGGAAGUUGAGCCCCCAUCGGGCGAGGGCUCCCGGGCGGCGCUCCUUGGCUCUCCACCUUCUCCAGCCAGUGCUGCUGCCUGCCAAAGCCCUCUAACCAUCCCACAUCCCAGCCUUCCCCCCUCUUUGAAAAUAAGAUCACAUCAAGUCAGGGAUUAAAAUGGGAAAAAUUCCACCAGAGCCUCCCUCUGCCAGCCACACGUCUCAGUCCCCUCCCAGACACACACAGCUUGGUCCACGUUCCUGGAUGCCUCUGCCUCUCCCGGGACACCGCCUGGGCAGCAGAAACAGCUGUGGAGUCGGACCGGCCGGCUCCCGAGGCCAAGAGCUCCCACUUCCUCACACACCCCUGGAGGAAAGGCCAUGUGAAGACUGCAAGCCUGAAAGAUUGCACCAGAAACCAAAUCGGCCAGAAGCUUGAUCUUCGCCUUACAGCCUCCAGAACUGUAAGAAAGUAAAUUCCUGUUGUUUAAGCCACCCAGCCUGUGGUUCUCUUUAUGGCAGCCCCAGCAGACGAAUGCAGAUGGAUGAGAUCGAGGGGGGGCUUGAGGAGCAUGGAAAGGACCCGGAAUGAAUUGAGAGGUUUCCAGCUCAGGCAACUGUAUGGGCACGGAAGUUGCUCACUAACCAGGGGUGAGGUGAGGGAAGGCAGGUGUUGAGGGAUAUUUGCAUAAGAUGUGACCACGUGACCGUGGGAUAUUCAGGCCUAGAACUCAGAGGAGAACUGGGCUGGAUCAGGAUUUGGGAAUUAUUAGAGUGAAGGUGAAGUCUUCGGAGUGAUUACAUUUCAGAUCACGUAUUAUUCUUUCUUUUUCAAUUGGUUCAUUCUAAUUCCAGUGUCAUACUAUAUCAGCUUUUGUCUUUUAUAUUUUUAUAAAAAGCCAGACAUUCUCCUUUGUUUUUAAAAAGUAUAACUGUGCACAAAUUCACCCCAAUUUUUAAAUGACUUAGUUUUCUUCUACUUGUUCAGAGCAAGUCUUGUUUAGGAGCAUAACUGAUAUGUGGUUAGAAUUGCACAUUUUUUCCUGAGGUUCAUCUUGUCUUCACUAUUUAUGAUGCCAAUUCUCUUGUCAUUUUAUCCAAUUUCAAAAUAAUGCCCUAGCCGGGUGCUCAGUGGUUAGAGCCUCAGCCCGUGGACGAAGGGUCACGGGUUCCCUUCUGGUCAAGUGUAAAUACCUCGGUUACACGCUCAACCCCAGCAAUCAAUUGAUGUGUCUCUCUCACAUUGAUGUGUCUCUCUCUCUGUCUCUCCCCCUUCCUUCCACUCUCUUUAAAAAUCAAUGGAAAAAAUAUCCUCGGGUGGGUGAUAAUUAACAAAAAACCAAAAUAACAAAUCUCUCUUUACUUUAGCUUGCCAGAUAAUUUAUCAUUCAAAAAUUUAGCAAAUGCUUACUUCUUUCCCUUAGAGUUAAACUUGAAAGGUACCAUGUGUUUAGUUCUAGGAUGAGCUAUUUUUUCAUCUCUGAAAACUUUUCUUGUAUUAUUUCUUUCUUU